AUAAUGGUACACCUGUCCCGUAUAUGCGGGAGCAGCUCGGAGAGAUCCUCGGAGGGGUGAGAUUCCCGUAG
rfam:Oscillibacter sp. KLE 1745 genomic scaffold Scaffold56, whole genome shotgun sequence.